GUUCAAACAUUCGGUAAAGACCAAAUUUUAUCAAUAACAUGAGACCUUGAGGUUUGAAUGUAGGUUUAGGAUUAUUACAGUUUAAUGAGUUGCCUUUCAGAUGAACUGCAGGGUCUGAGCCUGUGUUCAUUCUUAGCAGUUGCAUCUCAAAAUUAAAAUUAGCUUGUCUAAGCUCUUCUUUUGCUGAGGCUUAAGCUGUGUCUUUUGUCUCAUUAUUUCUGGGAGUUAAACCUGUGUUCUGCCUGUUAAAGCUCAGCUUCUGUAAGACAGCUCAUUAAACUUUGCUGAGUGGAAAGGGUACCCGGGCCUAUGGAUUACCUGGGGUUUAUGCAGGGUAAUCAAAAAUAGGUUUCUUCCUAACAGGAAAAUUUGUGUUUGUUCUAAUACUGCUGAAAUCAAAGCAAUUUAAGAGUCUGUGUAACUUUGUGCUUACUCUACAUUAUGAGCUGCAGCAGUUCUGCAACAAUAGUGUCAAAACUUCUGUGAAAGUUGCUGGUUGCUGUUUUAUCUUAGUUUUCAGAAUAGCCUGUUGUCCCACAGGCUCUGCUGUUAAUGCAGUAAAUAACUUUUGGAUUCUCUGGCAUUAGGUCAUAAAAUCAGUUAGAUUGGAAAAGACCUUUUGGAUGAUCAAGUCCCACCAAUAACCAAACACUGCCAGGUCUGCCACUACACCAUGUCCCCAAGUGCCAUAUCUGCAUGUAUUUUAAAUAUCUCCAGGAAUGAUGACUCCACUGCUUUUGCAGCUUGUCCUAAUGCUUGACAACCCUUUUGGUGGAUAUUAGGAAAAAAUUCUUCCAUCUAAACUAAGGAACAAACUGCUGUAGAAUUUAAGGAAUUAAGGUGAUGAAUUAUCACAAUUCAGUUUGUAUAAAGAUCAGUAACUUCCUGUAUUUAUUCCGUAUGUGUUUGUGUUUCACUUUUUUACUCUGUCUAGUUUAAAUCUCGAGUUCCCAAAGCGGUCCCGAUGGUCUUGGAGGUGCGGCUCCCAUUGAGGGUCUGCUGGGUGUUUUAAGGACGGGAGCGAAUCGGAUCUGACCCAGAAGAGGGCAGCAGUGCACUUGCACAAAACCACGGUCUUGGCUCUGUAAAGUCUUCUGUACCAAGCAUUGAAUCGAUUUUAGGAGCAGAAAUGCACCAAGGAAUCCCUUUGUACAAGUGUAUUCAUAACCCUAAAGUCCGGGGAUGCUGAUGUUCCAUGUUUUAGCCAGACUUUCCCUCUAAGUAAGAAGGUGAAGCUUAUUUCUCCUGAUAGCAGCUUUUUCUACCCUGCAGGUCAGAGGUCAUAAAAGACAUGCCCAUGAGGGAGAACAUGGCAGGAGGAGGAAGAAGCUCAGCUCAGUGGAUGCAGACUGGUGUGGGAGGCUUCCUGUUACUGAUGUGUCAAGUGGGCUAAGCAACUAUUGGUGAAGAUCAAAGAAAAGGAGGAGGAGGGCUGACAAGAAACAGUGUAUGAGAGAUGCCUGCACAGCUUUAAUAAAUAAAAAGGGGUUAAGGCUUCAAAUCUCUUGCAGGAUAUCUGUGAAUGUGGGGCCCUGUUUUGCUGUAGCAAGCUACAUUACAGCACACUGUCUUAUUUAGACCUAUAUGACUGAUACUUUGAAUAUUAAUAUAUAUUAAGAAAAGAAAAUUAUAAAUCACUGGAAAUACCUGAGAAUAUUAAACAGUUGCUAA